UACGGAGGGGGCUAGCGUUGUUCGGAAUUACUGGGCGUAAAGCGCACGUAGGCGGUUUUUUAAGUCAGAGGUGAAAGCCCGGAGCUCAACUCCGGAAUUGCCUUUGAGACUGGGAGACUUGAAUCCAGGAGAGGUGAGUGGAAUUCCGAGUGUAGAGGUGAAAUUCGUAGAUAUUAGGAAGAACACCGGUGGCGAAGGCGGCCCACUGGAUCGGUACUGACGCUGAGGUGCGAAAGCGUGGGGAGCAAACAGG
rnacentral:rRNA from 1 species